rnacentral:rRNA from 1 species
UACGGAGGGUGCACGCGUUAUUCGGAAUUACUGGGCGUAAAGCGUGCGCAGGCGGUUUGUUAAGUCAGAUGUGAAAUCCCCGGGCUUAACCUGGGAACUGCAUUUGUGACUGGCAAGCUAGAGUAUGGCAGAGGGAGGUAGAAUUCCACGUGUAGCAGUGAAAUGCGUAGAGAUGUGGAGGAAUACCGAUGGCGAAGGCAGCCCCCUGGGCCAAUACUGACGCUCAUGCACGAAAGCGUGGGGAGCAAACAGG